rnacentral:rRNA from 1 species
GACGAACGCUGGCGGCGUGCUUAACACAUGCAAGUCGAACGGAAAGGCCCUGCUUUUGUGGGGUGCUCGAGUGGCGAACGGGUGAGUAACACGUGAGUAACCUGCCCUUGACUUUGGGAUAACUUCAGGAAACUGGGGCUAAUACCGGAUAGGAGCUCCUGCUGCAUGGUGGGGGUUGGAAAGUUUCGGCGGUUGGGGAUGGACUCGCGGCCUAUCAGCUUGUUGGUGGGGUAGUGGCUUACCAAGGCUUUGACGGGUAGCCGGCCUGAGAGGGUGACCGGCCACAUUGGGACUGAGAUACGGCCCAGACUCCUACGGGAGGCAGCAGUGGGGAAUAUUGCACAAUGGGCGGAAGCCUGAUGCAGCAACGCCGCGUGCGGGAUGACGGCCUUCGGGUUGUAAACCGCUUUCGCCUGUGACGAAGCGUGAGUGACGGUAAUGGGUAAAGAAGCACCGGCUAACUACG